rnacentral:rRNA from 1 species
AUGGCCAUCCCACCCUGAACGCGCCCGAUCUCGUCUGAUCUCGGAAGCUAAGCAGGGUCGGGCCUGGUUAGUACUUGGAAGGGAGAUUUGCAAUGAAGUCUGAGAGUAUGUUAUU